rnacentral:siRNA from 1 species
AAAUGACACAUAAAACGCGUCGUA